rnacentral:sRNA from 1 species
CCUCUUCGAUCUGCUGCGGGCAGAUGAAGUGGAUGUGCGUAUCGACGCCGCCAGCGGUGAGGAUCAUGCCUUCACCGGCAAUGAUCUCGGUGGAAGCACCGAUAGCGAUGGUUACGUCCGGCUGAAUGUCCGGGUUGCCUGCUUUGCCGAUGGCCGCGAUGCGCCCGUCCUUGAGGCCGACGUCGGCUUUGACGAUGCCCCAAUGGUCGACGAUCAGGGCGUUGGUGAUCAGCGUGUCGACCACUUCGGCCGCCAGCAACUGGCCUUGGCCCAUGCCGUCACGAAUG